GGAACAUUUCUCCCAUGAAUAGAACGUUAGUUUACUCUUCAAUUUUUAGAUCGCUCAGUUAAAAAGGAUUCCUUGGCGAAACAAAGCCUAACAUUAUCUGUGUAAAAAUAGAAUGCCAGCCUUUCAUUUCUUCACAAUGUACAAGCUAUAUAUAGCUUUAUAGUGCCCAAAAAAGAACAAACUACGACAAGACUAAAAAGCAAAAAGAAACAGGGCAUGUCAUUUCUGGAAAGCUAUUAAAUAAUGAAUGCCACAUGUGUUUAAAGAUGUAACGAGGAGAAUAAAGC